rnacentral:rRNA from 1 species
AGAGUUUGAUCAUGGCUCAGAGUCAACGCUGGCGGCGUGCCUAACACAUGCAAGUCGCACGAGAAAGGGUAGCAAUACCUGAGUGCAGUGGCGCACGGGUGAGUAACACGUGAAUCAUCUACCUUCGAGUGGGGAAUAACUGGGAGAAAUCUCAGCUAAUACCGCAUAACACCUACGGGUCAAAGCAGCAAUGCGCUUGAAGAGGAGUUCGCGGCAGAUUAGUUAGUUGGCGGGGUAAUGGCCCACCAAGACGAUGAUCUGUAUCCGGCCUGAGAGGGCGCACGGACACACUGGAACUGAAACACGGUCCAGACUCCUACGGGAGGCAGCAGUGGGGAAUUUUGCGCAAUGGGGGAAACCCUGACGCAGCAACGCCGCGUGGAGGAUGAAAUCCCUUGGGAUGUAAACUCCUUUCGAUCGGGACGAUUAUGACGGUACCGGAAGAAGAAGCCCCGGCUAACUUCGUGCCAGCAGCCGCGGUAAUACGAGGGGGGCAAGCGUUGUUCGGAAUUAUUGGGCGUAAAGGGCGCGUAGGCGGUUUGACAAGUCUGAUGUGAAAUCUAUGGGCUCAACCCAUAGCCUGCAUUAGAAACUGUCGGGCUUGAGUAUGGGAGAGGUGAGUGGAAUUUCCGGUGUAGCGGUGAAAUGCGUAGAUAUCGGAAGGAACACCUGUGGCGAAAGCGGCUCACUGGACCAUAACUGACGCUGAGGCGCGAAAGCUAGGGGAGCAAACAGGAUUAGAUACCCUAGUAGUCC